rnacentral:rRNA from 1 species
GUGUCAGCCGCCGCGGUAAUACAGAGACUGCAAGCGUUAUUCGGAUUCACUGGGCGUAAAGGGUGCGCAGGCGGCCAAAUGUGUGAGGCGUGAAAGCCCGGGGCUUAACCCCGGAAUUGCACCUCGAACUAUUUGGCUAGAGCAUUGGAGAGGGUAGCAGAAUUCACGGUGUAGCAGUGAAAUGCGUAGAUAUCGUGAGGAAUACCAGAGGCGAAGGCGGCUACCUGGACAAUUGCUGACGCUCAGGCACGAAAGCGUGGGGAGCAAAAGGGAUUAGAUACCCCUGUAGUCCACGCCCUAAACGGUGCACACUAGGUCUUGGCGGAUUCGACCCCACCAGGGCCCAAGCUAACGCGUUAAGUGUGCCGCCUGAGGACUACGGUCGCAAGACUAAAACUCAAAGGAAUUGACGGGG